GGGGUUGUAGCUCAGUGGUAGAGCACUUACCUGGCAAGUGGAAAGCAGAGGGUUCAAUUCUCAGCACCG
rnacentral:tRNA from 1 species